rnacentral:rRNA from 6 species
AAUCCAUAGGUUAAUGAGGCGAACCGGGGGAACUGAAACAUCUAAGUACCCCGAGGAAAAGAAAUCAACCGAGAUUCCCCCAGUAGCGGCGAGCGAACGGGGAGGAGCCCAGAGCCUGAAUCAGCAUGUGUGUUAGUGGAAGCGUCUGGAAAGGCGCGCGAUACAGGGUGACAGCCCCGUACACAAAAGCGCAUGUGCUGUGAGCUCGAUGAGUAGGGCGGGACACGUGGUAUCCUGUCUGAAUAUGGGGGGACCAUCCUCCAAGGCUAAAUACUCCUGACUGACCGAUAGUGAACCAGUACCGUGAGGGAAAGGCGAAAAGAACCCCGGCGAGGGGAGUGAAAAAGAACCUGAAACCGUGUACGUACAAGCAGUGGGA